AUUUACUGAUCGCUGAAUUUUCACUAGGAACGUGAAAAUCGGGGGAACCAAUCGUGUGCAAAGCAUUGAACCGGUGUGAGAGUCGGGACGCUGCUAUUGCCACAGGGGUGAAUCUCAGACCGGGGCCAUAAAACCGCCGGCUGAGUAGAGCGACUCUCACCGCUCGAAUCCGUCAGCUAACCUCGUAAGCGUAGAUUGAGAGAGGAA
rnacentral:sRNA from 2 species